rnacentral:rRNA from 1 species
UUUAUUGAGAGUUUGAUCCUGGCUCAGGACGAACGCUGGCGGCGUGCUUAACACAUGCAAGUCGAACGAGAAUCUACUGAAAGAGUUUUCGGACAAUGGAUGUAGAGGAAAGUGGCGGACGGGUGAGUAACGCGUGAGGAACCUGCCUUGAAGAGGGGGACAACAGUUGGAAACGACUGCUAAUACCGCAU